CCUUAAUAGCGGCUGCACCAUUAGGAUGUCCUGAUCCAACAUCGAGGUCGUAAACCCCCUCGUCGAUAGGGACUCUGGGAGAGGAUUGCGCUGUUAUCCCUAGGGUAACUCGGUCCGUUGAUCGGCGUUCGCCGGAUCAUUUUUGGUCAGAAAUUCUGGUGCUUAGAGUUGUGGCUCUUGGUUGUGGGGGCAGUGUCCCCAGUCCACAUGGGGGCUUUGUUUUCCCCCGCGGUCGCCCCAACCAAAGACAUAGGGGCUAGGGGUCACUGUGUUUUUACUUGUUAAUUCAAGGUUACUUGACGUGAUCUGCCUGGUGUCUAAAGCUCCAUAGGGUCUUCUCGUCUUAUGUAUUUAUGUCCGCUUCUGCACGGG
rnacentral:rRNA from 1 species